UGGUCAAUGCUGCUAGGCUAAUGGUCUCUAGAAACAAGCGCAGAUACCAGUACGACGGAUUUGAUUUAGAUUUAACAUAUGUCACAGAUAAAAUCAUUGCGAUGAGCUUCCCAUCUUCAGGAAAAAUGUCCUUU